GAUGAACGCUGGCGGCGUGCUUAACACAUGCAAGUCGAACGGAAAGGCCCUGCUUGCAUGGUCCUCGAGUGGCGAACGGGUGAGUAACUCGUGGGUGAUCUGCCCUGUACUUUUUGAUAAGCCUGGGAAACUGGGUCUAAUACCUAAUAUGACAAUUGUUUUGCUGCGAUUGUGGAAAGCUUUUGCGGCAUGGGAUGAGGUCGGGGCCUAUCAGCUUGUUGGUGGGGUAAUGGCCUACCAAGGCGUCGACGGGUAGCCGGCCUGCUAGGGUGUACGGCCAGACUGGACCCGGAAUGCAGCCCACAGUCGUGAGUGUGGCAGAAGUGGGGAAUAUUGGACAAUGGGAGACCGCCUGAUGCAGGGAGGCCGCGUGGGGGAUGAGGGCCUUUGGGUUGUAAGAACCGUUCGCGACCGACAAGGCCUUUUGGUGACGGUAGGUUGAGAAGAAGCACCGGCUAACUACGUG
rnacentral:rRNA from 1 species